UAAUAUUUCUAUCAACAGCUAGUGCUGAAAAUACAACAGAUUCCAUAUUCGACAUUUACUAAGAAAUGUGAAAAUAAGGAACUAUCUAGUGAUAAUGUUAAUAUGGUGAUUGGUGAAUGUAUAUGAUCCAGUUAAUACAUUUUCAGAAAAUCGCUUAGAGUUCCAAAAUCGAAUUUUGAAAGGACGUCACACAGCAUUUUGUUUCCCUUGUCGCUGCUUUUAAGAUUGUUUGAUGGAAGGAAUGUUAGGUGAUAAUAACCACUUAUAUCACAGAAGUAAUGAAUAUUAGAGUUUUUAGAAAUCAAUGUUGUUGCUAUCAAGUUCCUUAACCCUUACUAAAUGAAAAUGAACACUACCUGGCUUAUGCAAUUUGAGAUUGGAUACUAAAACGACUAGUUGUUGAUGAAAGAUGAAUAGUGAUUCAAAGAAGUCUCUGGAAUAUUUUACAUGUUUCUUUGGUCCAAUACAUCAAGUCUCAUCCAUGCAUCACACA